GCACGCUUAGCUCAGCGGUAGAGCACUGCCUUCACACGGCAGUUGUCGCAGGUUCGAACCCUGCAGCGUGCACCA
rnacentral:tRNA from 2 species